rnacentral:rRNA from 1 species
GACGAACGCUGGCGGCGUGCUUAACACAUGCAAGUCGAACGGAAAGGCCCUGCUUUUGUGGGGUGCUCGAGUGGCGAACGGGUGAGUAACACGUGAGUAACCUGCCCUUGACUUUGGGAUAACUUCAGGAAACUGGGGCUAAUACCGGAUAGGAGCUCCUGCUGCAUGGUGGGGGUUGGAAAGUUUCGGCGGUUGGGGAUGGACUCGCGGCUUAUCAGCUUGUUGGUGGGGUAGUGGCUUACCAAGGCUUUGACGGGUAGCCGGCCUGAGAGGGUGACCGGGCACAUUGGGACUGAGAUACGGCCCAGACUCCUACGGGAGGCAGCAGUGGGGAAUAUUGCACAAUGGGCGGAAGCCUGAUGCAGCAACGCCGCGUGCGGGAUGACGGCCUGCGGGUUGUAGACCGCUUUCGCCUGUGACGAAGCGUGAGUGACGGUAAUGGGUAAAGAAGCACCGGCUAACUACGUG